UACGUAGGGGGCGAGCGUUGUCCGGAAUCAUUGGGCGUAAAGAGCUCGUAGGCGGUUCAGCAAGUCGGCUGUGAAAGUCCGAGGCUCAACCUCGGAACUGCAGUCGAAAGUGCUGUGACUAGAGUCCGGUAGUGGAGAACGGAAUUCCCGGUGUAGCGGUGAAAUGCGCAGAUAUCGGGAGGAUCACCAGUAGCGAAGGCGGUUCUCUGGGCCGGUACUGACGCUGAGGAGCGAAAGCGUGGGGAGCAAACAGG
rnacentral:misc_RNA from 1 species